rnacentral:lncRNA from 10 species
GCAUACUCGAAGUAACCAAUGGAAUCUGCUAGAGGGUAUUUCAACUCCCAAAAAUUCUGUAAUGAGGCCCUUGAGCCCCUAUGCGCGGGUCCGCUCCCACACCGUGGAGUGUACUUUCAUUUUCAAUAAAUCCCUUCAUUCUUCCUUGCAUUGUUUGUGUGUUUUAUCCGAUUCUUUGUUCAAUAUGCCAAGAACCUGGACACUGUCCACCAGUGAAAUAUUUUGGCAAGCUAGCCAGGAGGAAAAGAAUCCAGGCAACUUACCAUGAGAAAAUCCAUGCAGCCAUGCAGGGAGACCCGCUUAAGGAGGGACUGAGGAACCAAAGUCCGUGGCUCACAGACUCAGCUGAACUCCGAGUCAGCUCCAACUUGCCAGCCAGUUGAUUGAACAACUUGAAGUGAAAGAUUCCAGUUAAAAUCCAAUAUUAAAUAAGUUAAAGAUUGGAUAAAAUGACUCUAAAUUUCGUAUGAAAGAGUAAACAUCUGGGAAUAAUCAUUAUCUAUUUUUCAAAACUCUGCACUCAUUUCCACACAGUGAAAGAGAAUAUAUAUAGUUUCUGAGUUUAAAAAAGCUACAGUUUAGUUAUUUAUUUAUUUAUUUUUAUUAUUAUACUUUAAUUUCUAGGGUACAUGUGCACAACAUGCAGGUUUGUUACAUAUGUAUACAUGUGCCAUGUUGGUGUGCUGCACCCAUUAACUCAUCAUUUAUAUCAGGUAUUUCUCUUAAUGCUAUCCCUCCCCCUUCCCCCACCCCACGACAGGCCCCCAUGUGUGAUGUUCCCCUCCCUGUGUCCAAGUGUUCUCAUUGUUCGAUUCCCAUCUAUGAGUGAGAACAUGCGGUUUGGUUUCCUGUUCCUGUGUUAGUUUGCUGAGAAUGAUGGUUU